GAUGAACGCUGGCGGCGUGCCUAAUACAUGCAAGUCGAACGCAUUGUGGUUGAAAUGAUAUGAAGAACUUGUUCAGAUUUGAUUUUCAACAUUGCAAUGAGUGGCGAACGGGUGAGUAACACGUGGGAAACCUACCUCUUAGCAGGGGAUAACAUUUGGAAACAAAUGCUAAUACCGUAUAAUAAUUAAAACCGCAUGGUUUUAGUUUAAAAGAUGGUCUUGCUAUCACUAAGAGAUGGUCCCGCGGUGUAUUAGUUAGUUGGUGAGGUAAUGGCUCACCAAGACAAUGAUACAUAGCCGAGUUGAGAGACUGACCGGCCACAAUGGGACUGAGACACGGCCCAUACUCCUACGGGAGCAGCAGUAGGGAAUCUUCCACAAUGGACGAAAGUCUGAUGGAGCAACGCCGCGUGUGUGAUGAA
rnacentral:rRNA from 1 species